rnacentral:hammerhead_ribozyme from 1 species
AUCCAACUGACGAGUCCUAAAUAGAACAAAUCGCACGUCCUAGAU